rnacentral:rRNA from 1 species
GCAUGUGCUGUGAGCUCGAUGAGUAGGGCGGGACACGUGGUAUCCUGUCUGAAUAUGGGGGGACCAUCCUCCAAGGCUAAAUACUCCUGACUGACCGAUAGUGAACCAGUACCGUGAGGGAAAGGCGAAAAGAACCCCGGCGAGGGGAGUGAAAAAGAACCUGAAACCGUGUACGUACAAGCAGUGGGAGCACCCUUUGGGGUGUGACUGCGUACCUUUUGUAUAAUGGGUCAGCGACUUAUAUUCUGUAGCAAGGUUAACCGAAUAGGGGAGCCGGAGGGAAACCGAGUCUUAAUUGGGCGUUAAGUUGCAGGGUAUAGACCCGAAACCCGGUGAUCUAGCCAUGGGCAGGUUGAAGGUUGGGUAACACUAACUGGAGGACCGAACCGACUAAUGUUGAAAAAUUAGCGGAUGACCUGUGGCUGGGGGUGAAAGGCCAAUCAAACCGGGAGAUAGCUGGUUCUCCCCGAAAGCUAUUUAGGUAGCGCCUCGUGAAUUCAUCUCCGGGGGUAGAGCACUGUUUCGGCUAGGGGGCCAUCCCGGCUUACCAACCCGAUGCAAACUGCGAAUACCGGAGAAUGUUAUCACGGGAGACACACGGCGGGUGCUAACGUCCGUCGUGAAGAGGGAAACAACCCAGACCGCCAGCUAAGGUCCCAAAGUCAUGGUUAAGUGGGAAACGAUGUGGGAAGGCCCAGACAGCCAGGAUGUUGGCUUAGAAGCAGCCAUCAUUUAAAGAAAGCGUAAUAGCUCACUGGUCGAGUCGGCCUGCGCGGAAGAUGUAACGGGGCUAAACCAUGCACCGAAGCUGCGGCAGCGACACUAUGUGUUGUUGGGUAGGGGAGCGUUCUGUAAGCCUGCGAAGGUGGCCUGUGAGGGUUGCUGGAGGUAUCAGAAGUGCGAAUGCUGACAUAAGUAACGAUAAAGCGGGUGAAAAGCCCGCUCGCCGGAAGACCAAGGGUUCCUGUCCAACGUUAAUCGGGGCAGGGUGAGUCGACCCCUAAGGCGAGGCCGAAAGGCGUAGUCGAUGGGAAACGGGUUAAUAUUCCCGUACUUGGUGUUACUGCGAAGGGGGGACGGAGAAGGCUAUGUUGGCCGGGCGACGGUUGUCCCGGUUUAAGCGUGUAGGUGUGUGUUCCAGGUAAAUCCGGUUCACUUUAACACUGAGGCGUGACGACGAGGCACUACGGUGCUGAAGCAACAAAUGCCCUGCUUCCAGGAAAAGCCUCUAAGCAUCAGGUAACAU